UACAGAGGUCCCAAGCGUUGUUCGGAUUCAUUGGGCGUAAGGGUGCGUAGGUGGCGCUGUAAGUCGGGUGUGAAAUUUCGGAGCUUAACUCCGAAACUGCAUUCGAUACUGCGGUGCUUGAGGACUGGAGAGGAGACUGGAAUUCAUGGUGUAGCAGUGAAAUGCGUAGAGAUCAUGAGGAAGACCAGUGGCGAAGGCGGGUCUCUGGACAGUUCCUGACACUGAGGCACGAAGGCCAGGGGAGCAAACGGG
rnacentral:rRNA from 1 species